rnacentral:rRNA from 1 species
UUCCUACGGGGGGCAGCAGUGGGGAAUAUUGGACAAUGGGGGGAACCCUGAUCCAGCGACGCCGCGUGAGUGAAGAAGUAUUUCGGUAUGUAAAGCUCUAUCAGCAGGGAAGAAAGAAAUGACGGUACCUGACUAAGAAGCCCCGGCUAACUACGUGCCAGCAGCCGCGGUAAUACGUAGGGGGCAAGCGUUAUCCGGAUUUACUGGGUGUAAAGGGAGCGUAGACGGCGAUGCAAGUCUGAAGUGAAAGCCCGGGGCCCAACCCCGGAACUGCUCUGGAAACUGUGCGGCUAGAGUACUGGAGG